GAAGGCAGCAGGCACGCAAAUUACCCACUCCCGGCACGGGGAGGUAGUGACAAAAAAUAACGAUACGGGACUCUUAUGAGGCCCCGUAAUCGGAAUGAGUACACUUUAAAUCCUUUAACAAGGAUCCAUUGAAGGGCAAGUCUGGUGCCAGCAGCCGCGGUAAUUCCAGCUUCAAUAGCGUAUAUUAAAGUUGUUGCGGUUAAAAAGCUCGUAGUUGGUUCUGCGUGCCACGCUGUCGGUUCGCCGCCUGCCGGUGUAACUGGCAUGCCGCGGCAUGUCCUGUCGGUGGCGUUCAGGAGCCUCGUCUAGGCGCCGGCCCUUGCCUCAAAGCUUGGUGUUUGGAGGCCGGGGGUAUACCUGUUCGCCUACUCUAUCCUACCUAGGUGCUCUUUACCGAGUGUCGAGGUAGGCCGACACGUUUACUUUGAACAAAUUAGAGUGCUCAAAGCAGGCUGAAAUCUCUGCCUGAAUAGUGGUGCAUGGAAUAAUAAAACAGGACCUUGGUUCUAUUUUGUUGGUUCUUAGGAACACAAGGUAAUGAUCAAUACGGACAGGCGGGGGCAUUCGUAUUGCGACGUUAGAGGUGAACAGGAGUGGAGCCUGCGGCUUAAUUAUGACUCAACACGGGAAACCUCACCAGGCCAGGACAUUGGAAGGAUUGACAGAUUGAUAGCUCUUUCUUGAUUCAGUGGGUAGUGGUGCAUGGCCGUUCUUAGUUGGUGGAUCGAUUUGUCUGGUUAAUUCCGAUAACGAACGAGACUCUAGCCUAUUAACUAGGCGUUUUCCGGUGUCCCCGCCACCGGCGACAUUCAUUCUUCUUAAGGGGACAGGCGGCUUUUAGCCGCACGAGAUUGAGCAAUAACAGGUCUGUGAUGCCCUUAGAUGUCCUGGGCCGCACGCGCGCUACACUGAAGGAAUCAGCGUGUGCCUCCCUGGCCGAAAGGCCCGGGUAAUCCGCUGAACCUCCUGCGUGCUAGGAAUUGGGGCUUGCAAUUGUUCCCCAUGAACGAGGAAUUCCCAGUAAGCGCGAGUCAUAAGCUCGCGUUGAUUACGUCCCUGCCCUUUGUACACACCGCCCGUCGCUACUACCGAUUGAAUGAUUUAGUGAGGUCUUCGGACUGGCGGUAAUCCCUA
rnacentral:rRNA from 1 species